rnacentral:rRNA from 1 species
GACUGGGCGUAAAGGGCGCGUAGGCGGCACACACAGUCAGAUGUGAAAUUCCUGGGCUCAACCUGGGGACUGCAUUUGAUACGUGUGAGCUAGAGUGRAGAAGAGGGUUGUGGAAUUUCCAGUGUAGAGGUGAAAUUCGUAGAUAUUGGAAAGAACACCGGUGGCGAAGGCGGCAACCUGGUCUUUAACUGACGCUGAGGCGCGAAAGCGUGGGGAGCAAACAGGAUUAGAUACCCUGGUAGUCCACGCUGUAAACGAUGUGUGCUGGAUGUUGGGGAACUUAGUUUCUCAGUGUCGUAGCUAACGCGAUAAGCACACCG